GAUGAACGCUGGCGGCGUGCCUAAUACAUGCAAGUCGAGCGAACAGACGAGGAUCUUGCUCCUCUGACGUCAGCGGCGGACGGGUGAGUAACACGUGGAUAACCUACCUAUAAUACUGGGAUAACUUCGGGAAACCGGAGCUAAUACCGGAUAAUAUAUUGAACCGCAUGGUUCAAUAGUGAAAGACGGUUUUGCUGUCACUUAUAGAUGGAUCCGCGCCGCAUGAGCUAGUUGGGAAGGUAACGGCUUACCAAGGCGACGAUGCGUAGCCGACCUGAGAGGGUGAUAGGCCACACUGGAACGGAGACACGGUCCAGACUACUACGGGAGGCAGCAGUAGGGAAUCUGCCGCAAUGGGCGAAAGCCUGACGGAGCAACGCCGCGUGAGUGAUGAAGGUCUUCGGAUCGUGAAACUCGGUUAUUAGGGAAGAACAAAUGUGUAAGUAAAUAUGCACGUCUUGACGGUACCUAAUCAGAAAGCCACGGCUAACUACGUG
rnacentral:rRNA from 1 species